ensembl:snoRNA predicted gene, 23201
ACUGGCAUGUAUGAUGACUAAACUUUUUUCCCCAACAGAUCGACCAUGUUGAUCUCACUUUCUCUAAGCCAGUUUAACUGACAUGCCAAC